rnacentral:misc_RNA from 1 species
AGUGACAGCUGCAUUGAUAAUGGUUAAAAGAAACGAUUGAUUUGCCGAUUUUCACGUACGAGGCUCAUUCGAUUUCAUGGAAUAUCGGCUGAACCGGAGACACCGAGGCAGAGAAUUCAUCGCUGGUUGAGCGUAUGGGUGCAGGUUGCAUCUGGCGACACUGAGCCUCAUAGAAGCACCCCUGAAGCAAGAAUUCAAGGUUUCCGGCGGGCCUCAGGCACGCUAAGGCAUCUUUCGCGUUCCCUACAACGCUGCAACGUCUUCUUUCCGGCUGGUUAACUGUCGCUCGGAAAUACGACCAAGUCUCUUGGCACGGACGAACUUCGUCGGCAUCUCUACCGGAAAACCGCUGAACUCAACUGCUUCUUC